UCAGGAAUGUUGGAGGAACUAUUAUCAGAGAGGAAGGAGAGAGCAGAGAUGGAAAUACCAAGUGUGGGCAGACACAGCGGGGACAAUACCCUGCAAAGUGGUGCGCUCAGCCCUGCGGUUUACCAAGCAGACAUGCAUUUUGAUAAGGAGACACACAGAGAGACAGAGAGACCCAGGCUGAGAGCCACAGAGAGCAGACAGAGUAAGAAAGAGAGAGAGAAGAAACCAGAAAUCUCUGGAACAGAAUCAAGAAUGACUUUGGGGGGAAAGUUUUGUUCAGGAUGGACAGCAAGUAGAAAUCCCAGCCCAUCCUACCAAUGCCUGGGAUCCUCGGGCCCUUUUGAACCAUAAAGGGUACUUUUCUGGUCACUCCUCCUACCUACCCCAGACCCCAGGACCUGAUUAAGCACUUACGAGGUACUCAGGACACUUAGGAAUUUGGGGUCCCCUACACUACUGGCGAUGCAUAAUGGAUAAAUAAAAAUUUGAGAAUGAGAACAUUAAUCAGCUUUCCUGCUGCUGUGUAGGGUGAAUGCAAAUGCCUACACAAGUCGUGGCUGGCAGGUCCUCUGGCCCAGGCCUUGGGCCCUAGACCUCCAUAGUCUCUCCCAGAAGGGUCUCUUUUCCAUCGUGCCCAUACCUGAGCUCUGCCUUCCCCCCGCCAGCCUCUUACAGAUACUUCCUCCUGCUCUCUUCCUUCCACCCACCCUCCAGCAGCCCAAACCACUCCUCUUUCUGAAAGACCUUCACCAGAACAGUGUGAAUUCUCAGAAAUGUGCCACAGGAGGAGGGGGCUCGCCAUAUCUGGCUUUUUAAAGAGAAGAUGAGGGCUUAAGCAAGUUGAGAGAGAGAGAGAGACAGAGAGAGAGACGGAAACAGAGAGACUGGGCUAUGCAACAGCUCUCCAGUAUUUCAGUCUCUAAGUGUGGAUUAGAUGUGUUCAAGUAGCUCCCAGGGAUUGCAUUAGCACCACAUGGGGAAAUACUUUGGAAUAUUCUUAAUACAAUUUGAAAUGUCCCACAAGGAUCUGGGCUGCCACAGGUGGUAAUGAGGUCCCCAUCAGUGGCUGUAGCCAAGCAGAUGCUGGUGAUCACCUGUUAGGAGCACUGCAGAGGAGAUUUCUAUUCUAGAUGGAAUAUUGGAGCUCUAACCCCUCCCAUCAUAAGCUAAGGGUCUUGCAGAGACAGGGCAGGGCUCCCCAAAGGUGAGCUGUACAGGGGUCACAGGCACUCAUUCCUCGGCAGGGAGAUAGAGGUGAUCCUUCCCAGUAAGUAUUCUGGGGGCUUCCUGUGUGGCUGAGCCCUUCAUCUCAUGUCUUCAUGGCUCCAUCGUCCCCAUCGUGCAACCAAACGGCCCGUCCUGCCCAGCUGUUCUGGCCUGGCCAGACAUGCUCACAGGGCAAUCAGCUCUACCCCCAAGAGCAUCACCUCCCCUCCUGCCCGCCCUUCCUGCCCUCUGCUGGGCUUUGGGAAGAAGCCCAGGCUAUCAGCAGCAGGAUUUCGCUCUCAUGAGCUGCUGAAAACAUCAGUGAUGGGUUUGUUUGUAUUUGCCUAAUUAGGCAACGAGCUGAGACGCUCUCGCAAGGACUGGCAGCAUCUUUGGAAAACACAGGCCCAGAAGCAUAGAUUCUGAGCAAGUUCUAGCUCCUUCCACAGUAUCAUUACUCUCUCUUGCUGCCCUCAGGGGAAGCAAGAUGUUGGGGAAUCUGGGUUCUCCAGUCAAAGUGCCUGGGCUCAAAUGCCAACUCUGUUACUUCCUAGCUCUGUUGUCUUGGGGAGAGAGGAUGGACUGCAAAGACAUCUGUAUGAGCUUAAGGACUGACACCCACAGUCGUUAACAGAUGACAGGGCCUGUGGCAUUGAGCAGGGAGGUCAGAUGCCAGCCACAGGAGCCUACUAGGACACCUCUGCUCGACACCUGCCUGGGCAGGGGGCUCAACAGGGUUUGUACUUUAAAUGCUCCUUCUCUUUUCUUCCCAUCACAUGCUAACCCCUAAAACCAAGCAGUUUGGUUGUGAGUUUUCAGUUUAUUUGGCUCCCUCUGAUCGAUGGGAGCUAGGAAAAGCCAGGCUGUGAUGUAAGUGGGGAAUACAUUUUGGACCCAGAUACGGGGACACUUUACCUUUGGAAAUGUGACUUUACAGGAGUCGUGUCUGACUUUAGAAUAGACCUUCCGGAGCAAAAGUCUAUUAGGUUCAGGACCGACCACCGGAAUUGAGGGUUUACUUGUAAUUCCUUACCAGGAGUCAGAAGGCCCUUGAAGUCCCAUGGAUCCCGGGCCCAGGGCUUGCCUAAUCUGACUCUGACCAGGGGAUAUUCCACGAGAGCUGGAGAUUUGAUCUCCAAGUACCAAUGAAGAUGGGGUUCUCCCCAGGGGGGUGGGUGGGUCAUGCGAGAAGGGGUUCCAGGCCUUCCCAGGGAGCUCUUGGGGGUACUCACUUGAGAGGUCCCUGCCCACACCCAGAGCCAAGCCGUCUUUGAUCCACAGAACGAAGCCAUCAUACUCGGGGAUGGCGCACAGCAGUGUCACUGGCUGGCCCGACACCACGGCCUGGUCCUGGGGCUGCUGGCUGAAGGAGUAUACUUGGCCUGGGAAGGAGACAAGCACAGGGGUCAGUUAAUGCAGGGAGCAGUGCCUGGACGGCUUCUCCUCAAGUUAAGAAGCAGAGCAGUUGGCCCAGGGGAUAAGCAGCUCUCUCUCCCUCCCUCGCCAGCAUCUGACUUCCUGCCUGCAGCCCAGCGGCACUUCCUGUCUGCCCCCUGCUUAAUUCCCUGCUCUCAGCAGCUGGCUCUCGGCUCAGCCCUCCUGCUCAUCCAUCCUUAACACACAUUCACACUGUGAGGCGGCCUCCCCCAGCCCCGAAAGAGGCCGUGCCCGCCGUGCUUGGGACGAUCUCUGCCACUUUCCAUUUGGCUCCUACCUACCGCCACAUGCUUGCGCCACAACAGGGCAGAGGAGGAGAGAGCCUUCCAGCUGCGAGCAUCCUUGGGAGGUGCCUCAAGAAGGCAAGGUUGGGGGGGAGUGGUGUGGUUUGCUUAAAAAGCCGGGAACCUGGGAAAAAUAUUACUGUUUAAUUCGGGCCUAUGGCCAAAUUCCACAGGACACGUGGUGGUAUAGUGUGGUCCAGAGUGUGCUGGCAGGAGCUGGAAGUCACCUCGACUCACCCUCUUUGUCCCUCUCUUUCCGAUGGCACACCCAAUUCUGGCCUCACUGUCACCUGGGGGAACAUCGCCAGGGUGACCCCCAGCUCUCCCCUAGACACCUCAGAGCAAGAAGGCACUGAGCCAUCUCAGCAGUUGUUACAGUAACCAUCACACCCGGAUCUCACCAGCCCCAGUUCGCAGGGGCUUGGAGGUUAACUAAAUCAUCUGGGAAUUGUCUCCCGGCAGGACUAGGGCUGUAGACGAAGACUUUCUGGCUCUGAAGACCGUGUUUUCAUCUGCUGAGCUGUGCUGUGCCCAGAUCCCUAAGCUGGUCCUGCGGGGAAUGCUGAGGAAGCAGGGUGAUGUGAUCCCUCUUCCCCGGGAGGCCACAGCCGAACGGACAACAGGACACCGACGUUUCCUGAGCCCCCGACAGUGGCCUCCAUUCCAUUACCUGCAUAGUUACAUUGCAGGGCAGAAAUAUCCCAAUUUUACGGCAAAGUAAACAGGAUCAGAGAGGCAAAGUAAGCUGCCCAAGAUCACACAGCUAAUGAGCGAUGGAGCUGGGGUUCGAUGGAGGUCCAUGUGGCUUCCAAGCCCGCGUUCUUUCCCACGCCCUGCCUGGCAGAUACAGAUACACGCUGAGGGAAGGUGGACCUGGUGGGCGGGUUGUUGCCACGGCCUCUUCUCCCCAACGUGGGAGAGUCAGGGACAGACACGGAGGUCCUGGAUGCUAGGUGUUGCCCAUCCUGGGGACACAAUACCCCAGGCUUGGACCACAGGUAAGGCCAUGCUCUUAGCAGCAGACGUCCCCAAUAAGGGGGUGACUGACAUAUACAGAACCCAAGGGAAGCUGGGCAUGGUGGCCAAGUGGGUGCGGGGGCUCCCCGAGAGGAGCCGCGGAAUCCACAUCAGAGAACUCAUGGCAGGGGGGAAGGUAGCCGCGUUUACAACCUGAUGAGAUCUUGGCUGGGUCUCUGAGGAGUCUCAUUAAAAAUCAAAUUGGCCCUGAAUUGUGGGAGUAACACUUUUUAUUCUGAUUUGAGCUUUACAAAUUAGAUUUCAUAGGACAUUUUAAUCAGCUAUGUGUGGUGGGUUUAUUUAUUUCUUUCCUCUCAGUCUCUUCAAGUUCUCUGUUGUAAUUAGACCGUUUCUGGCACCAAAGCAAGAGAGAAAGAAGGAGAAAGAGA